CGGGUGAUCAGUGGCGAACGGGUGAGUAACACGUGAGCAACCUACCCUUCACUCUGGGAUAAGCCUUGGAAACGGGGUCUAAUACCGGAUACGAGACGCACGGGCAUCUGUAGCGUCUGGAAAGAUUUAUCGGUGGAGGAUGGGCUCGCGGCCUAUCAGCUUGUUGGUGGGGUAAUGGCCUACCAAGGCGACGACGGGUAGCCGGCCUGAGAGGGCGACCGGCCACACUGGGACUGAGACACGGCCCAGACUCCUACGGGAGGCAGCAGUGGGGAAUAUUGCACAAUGGGCGAAAGCCUGAUGCAGCGACGCCGCGUGCGGGAUGACGGCCUUCGGGUUGUAAACCGCUUUCAGCAGGGAAGAAGCGAAAGUGACGGUACCUGCAGAAGAAGCGCCGGCUAACUACGUGCCAGCAGCCGCGGUAAUACGUAGGGCGCAAGCGUUGUCCGGAAUUAUUGGGCGUAAAGAGCUCGUAGGCGGUUUGUCGCGUCUGCUGUGAAAACCUCAGGCUCAACCUGGGGCUUGCAGUGGGUACGGGCAGACUAGAGUGCGGUAGGGGUGACUGGAAUUCCUGGUGUAGCGGUGGAAUGCGCAGAUAUCAGGAGGAACACCGAUGGCGAAGGCAGGUCACUGGGCCGCAACUGACGCUGAGGAGCGAAAGCAUGGGGAGCGAACAGGAUUAGAUACCCUGGUAGUCCAUGCCGUAAACGUUGGGCACUAGGUGUGGGGUCCAUUCCACGGAUUCCGUGCCGCAGCAAACGCAUUAAGUGCCCCGCCUGGGGAGUACGGCCGCAAGGCUAAAACUCAAAGAAAUUGACGGGGGCCCGCACAAGCGGCGGAGCAUGCGGAUUAAUUCGAUGCAACGCGAAGAACCUUACCAAGGCUUGACAUACACCGGAAAAGUGCAGAGAUGUGCUCCCCGCAAGGUCGGUGUACAGGUGGUGCAUGGUUGUCGUCAGCUCGUGUCGUGAGAUGUUGGGUUAAGUCCCGCAACGAGCGCAACCCUCGUCCCAUGUUGCCAGCGGGUUAUGCCGGGGACUCAUGGGAGACUGCCGGGGUCAACUCGGAGGAAGGUGGGGAUGACGUCAAAUCAUCAUGCCCCUUAUGUCUUGGGCUUCACGCAUGCUACAAUGGCCGGUACAAAGGGCUGCGAUACCGCGAGGUGGAGCGAAUCCCAAAAAGCCGGUCUCAGUUCGGAUUGGGGUCUGCAACUCGACCCCAUGAAGUCGGAGUCGCUAGUAAUCGCAGAUCAGCAACGCUGCGGUGAAUACGUUCCCGGGCCUUGUACACACCGCCCGUCAAGUCAUGAAAGUCGGUAAC
rnacentral:rRNA from 1 species